AUUGAACGCUGGCGGCAUGCUUUACACAUGCAAGUCGAACGGCAGCGCGGACUUCGGUCUGGCGGCGAGUGGCGAACGGGUGAGUAAUAUAUCGGAACGUACCCAGGGGUGGGGGAUAACGUAGCGAAAGUUACGCUAAUACCGCAUACGCUCUAUGGAGGAAAGCAGGGGAUCGCAAGACCUUGCGCGCUUGGAGCGGACGAUAUCUGAUUAGCUAGUUGGUGGGGUAAAGGCUCACCAAGGCAACGAUCAGUAGCUGGUCGGAGAGGACGACCAGCCACACUGGGACUGAGACACGGCCCAGACUCCUACGGGAGGCAGCAGUGGGGAAUUUUGGACAAUGGGGGCAACCCUGAUCCAGCAAUGCCGCGUGAGUGAAGAAGGCCUUCGGGUUGUAAAGCUCUUUUGUCAGGGAAGAAACGGUUUUGGCUAAUAUCCAGAGCUAAUGACGGUACUUGAAGAAUAAGCACCGGCUAACUACGUGCCAGCAGCCGCCGUAACAC
rnacentral:rRNA from 1 species